GGGAGGCAGCAGUGGGGAAUCUUAGACAAUGGGCGCAAGCCUGAUCUAGCCAUGCCGCGUGAGCGAUGAAGGCCUUAGGGUUGUAAAGCUCUUUCGUUGGGGAAGAUAAUGACGGUCCCCACAGAAUAAGCCCCGGCUAACUCCGUGCCAGCAGCCG
rnacentral:rRNA from 1 species